rnacentral:rRNA from 1 species
ACAAGACAAGGUCGGACCGUAACCAUCGGUAGCUUGCUACCGAUGGUGAGAGUGGCGCACGGGUGCGUAACGCGUGAGCAACCUGCCCAUAUCAGGGGGAUAGCCCGGAGAAAUCCGGAUUAACACCGCAUGACACUGCUUUCCGGCAUCGGGAGGCAGUCAAAUAUUCAUAGGAUAUGGAUGGGCUCGCGUGACAUUAGCUAGUUGGUGGGGUAACGGCCCACCAAGGCGACGAUGUCUAGGGGCUCUGAGAGGAGAAUCCCCCACACUGGUACUGAGACACGGACCAGACUCCUACGGGAGGCAGCAGUAAGGAAUAUUGGUCAAUGGGGGCAACCCUGAACCAGCCAUGCCGCGUGCAGGACGACUGCCCUAUGGGUUGUAAACUGCUUUUGUUAGGGAAUAAACCCCGCUACGUGUAGCGGGCUGAAUGUACCUAAAGAAUAAGGAUCGGCUAACUCCCUGCCCA